GGGAAGGCCAGUCUACAGGUGUGUUAAAAUUGCACAAAACUAAACAUAUGCAACCAUGAAUAUUUACAAAACUAAUAAAUCUCAAUAAGUGGUGUGGGCUACACUAAUUUCAAUUCCUGGUUUUGAUUCCUAGUUGUAGAGUUAUCCCAGAUGCUGCCCUUGGCCCUUGGCGGGAGGGUGCCUGAAAGACACACGGGACCUCCCUGGACAUGUUUUGCACCUUCUUGUGAAUCCAGUAAAAGGAUAAACAACGAUACCUGCAAACUCCAUAUGCAGAUGUACAUGCGUGUGAUUACCAUCGAACUGAUGUAAAACGUGCUCCAGUGACGGCCCCUGAGCCAGCCAGCCAGCGAUUCCCCCUUUCUGCCGACGCUGGUCCACUGCCCG
rnacentral:lncRNA from 1 species